rnacentral:rRNA from 1 species
GUAGGUGGCAAGCGUUGUCCGGAAUUAUUGGGGCGUAAAGCGCGCGCAGGCGGUUCUUUAAGUCUGAUGUGAAAGCCCACGGGCUCAACCGUGGAGGGUCAUUGGAAACUGGAGAACUUGAGUACAGAAGAGGAAAGCGGAAUUCCACGUGUAGCGGUGAAAUGCGUAGAGAUGUGGAGGAACAUCAGUGGCGAAGGCGGCUUUCUGGUCUGUAACUGACGCUGAGGCGCGAAAGCGUGGGGAGCAAACAGGAUUAGAUACCCUGGUAGUCCACGCCGUAAACGAUGAGUGCUAAGUGUUAGGGGGUUUCCGCCCCUUAGUGCUGCAGCUAACGCAUUAAGCACUCCGCCUGGGGAGUACGGCCGCAAAGGCUG